UUUAUUUGGACAUUUAAAUUUAUUGAGGUCCACAAAGAUUGUUUUCUCUCCCCAGAUUAGAAAUGCCAUGUGACUGGAUGGGAGUGUCUCACAGGCCAGGUCUCACUGGAGGGAUCCUGAAAGGAAAAUUCAGAUGACACCUCAAAUUCUGGGCAGCAGUGCUGAGACAGUGGGAGGCCUGACAGGUCUGCGGCAGCCACAGCCAGGAGAGAGGAUUUCACAGCAAUCUGCCACAGCAAUGCUGGUCCCUCCAAAGGACAGGAGGCCCAACCAGCAUUUAAAUGACAAGUUUACUAAUGGUAACUGGAAGUGCUGUGAUGUCUCCCUGCUUCAAGUACAGAUUGCAACACCUGCUGGGACAAGACUCCCCCAAACCUGUGAGAUGCUGCAGGAUGCUCAGGGAAACGCUGCACAACCUGGCGAGGACUCAAUGUGAUAACGCUGAAGAGUGAUCAGACAGUCAACUAUGAAACCGCGGCGGCGUCUGCUGAGGAAAACCCACAAGCUGUCAAGAAAGCUGCGGGAUGUUUUGCGACACAAUCUAUCAACUAUCCAAGGUGAAUGCCUUUAUUUAUAGAUGGAUUUCUUUUCCUGUUGUAAUUCCAUGCCUUCUCAGUCUUACAGUAAGCCACCUGGCCAGUGUGAAUACGCACGUUAAUUUCAAGGUAAUAUAUUAUUCUGUAUAAUAAAAACAAGUUGUCUGGCUGUUUUUAGUGGAGUUGUCUAAGCCUGUUCCCAUGGGCUUCCAACCUCCCAGGGAGAGCUUGCAAUCUGCUCUGUUUCAUCAUCACUUUUGUGUCAUUUCCUACUGAGAUGAGUGGCACCAAGACAAUUUCCAGACGUGGUUAUUUGUUCUCCUUGACCUGAGUGACUGCUGUUUUCGAAGUCAUUUGCAGUGUCAGUCCUGGGAUUUGACACUUGGUCUUCUCCAGUUGGGGAUUAUAAUGCUGUAUCUUUCAUUCAAGCUCCUUAUUAAUGUUGAGAAGGCAGUUACAAUGGAGCUGUUCCAAAAAUUUUUUCCUUGACAACACUUAAGUCUGCAAAUCAGGCCAAUUUUACCAAUUUCACAUAACUUGAUAAUUCAGUUUAUACCAAGUAAAAAAACUUUUCCCUGGACCACCAACCCUAAUUCUAUACAGUGUUUAACAACAAUUGCUAGUUGAAAGUUUGUUUUUUCACCCACACCUAAGGAAGCUUUAGCACACUCUGUUCCCAACUGUGCCUAUAACCUGCAGAGAUAGACUGAGAACAGCUUACAACUCCAAAAAUUUCAUUCCUUUGAAUUCUGUCCAUUGUUUCCUUGUUGGUUCCCCUCUCCAAGUAAACAGUUCCAUGAAAAUUUAAGCAAUCUUGAAUGAGGUCUUUGCAGUGACCUUAUGGCUUAGAAGCAGAUGAACCCAGAGCUCAUUGGGCAAUAAUUUCCUAUUGUUCAUAUACAAUCUCAGCCUGAAAAUGGGAUGUGUGUCCCUAAAGCCAGCUUCUACUGUGGUUGAGCAAUGUCUUGUCAGGCCCCUCUUUCAGCAGCUGUCAUCUGUAAAUUCACGCAUAAACUCAGAUGACCUGAGCAGUUCAGCUCUUCUGGGUUACCAGAAGAGUUCCACAGCCUAAGUGAGGCACCACAAAAAUGUCUGAAAGUGAGUCUAGAGAUAUUUUGAAGUCUUGCACCUGGAAGGCUGUUGAUCCAUCCUUGCUCUCUGUGGAAAUUUGCAUUUCCACGUGCCUGGUUACAUUGCAACCCAGCCUCUAAAAUUCUGGA